GAUGAACGCUGGCGGCGUGCCUAAUACAUGCAAGUCGAGCGAACGGACGAGAAGCUUGCUUCUCUGAUGUUAGCGGCGGACGGGUGAGUAACACGUUGAUAACCUACCUAUAAGACUGGGAUAACUUCGGGAAACCGGAGCUAAUACCGGAUGAUAUUUUGAACCGCAUGGUUCAAAAGUGAAAGACGGUAUUGCUGUCACUUAUAGAUUGAUCCGCGCUUCAUUAGCUAGUUGGUAAGGUAACGGCUUACCAAGGCAACGAUGCAUAGCCGACCUGAGAGGGUGAUCGGCCACACUGGAACUGAGACACGGUCCAGACUCCUACGGGAGGCAGCAGUAGGGAAUCUUCCGCAAUGGGCGAAAGCCUGACGGAGCAACGCCGCGUGAGUGAUGAAGGUCUUCGGAUCGUAAAACUCUGUUAUUAGGGAAGAACAUAUGUGUAAGUAACUGUGCACAUCUUGACGGUACCUAAUCAGAAAGCCACGGCUAACUACGUG
rnacentral:rRNA from 1 species